GACGAACGCUGGCGGCGUGCUUAACACAUGCAAGUCGAGCGAUGAAGUUCCUUCGGGAAUGGAUUAGCGGCGGACGGGUGAGUAACACGUGGGUAACCUGCCUCAUAGAGGGGAAUAGCCUUUCGAAAGGAAGAUUAAUACCGCAUAAGAUUGUAGUAUCGCAUGAUACAGCAAUUAAAGGAGUAAUCCGCUAUGAGACGGACCCGCGUCGCAUUAGCUAGUUGGUGAGGUAACGGCUCACCAAGGCGACGAUGCGUAGCCGACCUGAGAGGGUGAUCGGCCACAUUGGGACUGAGACACGGCCCAGACUCCUACGGGAGGCAGCAGUGGGGAAUAUUGCACAAUGGGGGAAACCCUGAUGCAGCAACGCCGCGUGAGUGAUGACAGUCUUCGGAUUGUAAAACUCUGUCUUCAGGGACGAUAAUGACGGUACCUGAGGAGGAAGCCACGGCUAACUACGUGCCAGCAGCCGCGGUAA
rnacentral:rRNA from 1 species